rnacentral:rRNA from 1 species
CAGCCGCCGCGGGAAUACAGAGGGUGCGAGCGUUAAUCGGAUUUACUGGGCGUAAAGCGUGCGUAGGCGGCUUCUUAAGUCGGAUGUGAAAUCCCUGAGCUUAACUUAGGAAUUGCAUUCGAUACUGGGAAGCUAGAGUAUGGGAGAGGAUGGUAGAAUUCCAGGUGUAGCGGUGAAAUGCGUAGAGAUCUGGAGGAAUACCGAUGGCGAAGGCAGCCAUCUGGCCUAAUACUGACGCUGAGGUACGAAAGCAUGGGGAGCAAACAGGAUUAGAGACCCGAGUAGUCCCUGUCUCUUAUAA